rnacentral:rRNA from 1 species
AAUAGAUACCCAGGUAGUCCACGCCGUAAACGAUGAAUACUAGGUGUUGGGGAGCAAAAGCUCUUCGGUGCCGUCGCAAACGCAUUAAGUAUUCCACCUGGGGAGUACGUUCGCAAGAAUGAAACUCAAAGGAAUUGACGGGGGACCCGCACAAGCGGUGGAGCAUGUGGUUUAAUUCGAAGCAACGCGAAGAACCUUACCAGGUCUUGACAUCCCAUUGACCGCACCUUAACCGGUGCUUUCCUUCGGGACAAUGGUGACAGGUGGUGCAUGGUUGUCGUCAGCUCGUGUCGUGAGAUGUUGAGUUAAGUCCCGCAACGAGCGCAACCCCUAUCUUUAGUAGCCAGCAGUUCGGCUGGGCACUCUAGAGAGACUGCCAGGGAUAACCUGGAGGAAGGCGGGGAUGACGUCAAAUCAUCAUGCCCCUUAUGAUCUGGGCUACACACGUGCUACAAUGGUGACUACAAAGAGAAGCAAAGCUGUGAAGUGGAGCAAAUCUCAAAAAGGUCAUCUCAGUUCGGAUUGU